rfam:Astyanax mexicanus chromosome 2, whole genome shotgun sequence.
AUAAAGCAUUUUUGUAUGUCACUUUGGAUAAAGGCGUCUGCUAAAUGCCUUGAA